rnacentral:tRNA from 1 species
CCCUCGUUAGCCGAGUCGAUAGAGCGCUCCACUUGUAAUGGAGAGGUCCCGGGUUCGAUACCCCGACCAGGCG